UACGUAGGGUGCGAGCGUUAAUCGGAAUUACUGGGCGUAAAGUGUGCGCAGGCGGCAGAGCAAGUCGAGUGUGAAAGCCCCGGGCUUAACUUGGGAAUUGCGCUCGAAACUACUUUGCUGGAGUGUGGCAGAGGAAGGUGGAAUUCCACGUGUAGCGGUGAAAUGCGUAGAGAUGUGGAGGAACACCAAUGGCGAAGGCAGCCUUCUGGGCCGACACUGACGCUCAUGCACGAAAGCGUGGGGAGCAAACAGG
rnacentral:rRNA from 1 species